UUUUGGUGAGAGGUGUUCACAUGGGACUGAGGUCAGUAAAUGAUGGAGAAGAAAGAAGCCUACCAUGUGCUACGCUGCUACAAUUUCCAAGGCCGAAAAAUUGAUACUAGAAUGGCUGCAUUCUGUUAAGGAAAACUUUUGCCAAUAAAGAGGUAGGGUAUAAAGAAGGACUUAUUCCAGCUGUCCGAAACGCGUCACCUGUCUUUAACAGUGGACAUCGACUACGUAAAGGAGGAGACUGAAUGCGACGUCCACCAAGGGCCUCAGAUUCGUGUUCGUAAGGACCGCAAGUUGUCUCUUAUGCCGUAGUUUGUCUUCUAUCCAAGUUUGUUGCAAGGUUGACAUGUAAAACGGGAUAGUACGUUUGCUUGCAUCAAAACGUGCAACAAAGGAUGUAUGGGGAAAUCUGCAAUAAGACACCCCUCUGUGCACUUAUAAAUGUAUUUUUAUUCAUUUUAAAUUAAAUUCGAUCAUAAGUUUUGAUGAAGUUUAUUUUUGGGUAGGGAAAAGUCGCAACUCCAUAAUGUAAAAUGCACACAAAACUUUUGCGAGAUACGUAUAUGGUGUUCAAGUAAAGAAGAUAACGAGAUGUGAAUCUACCAUCAUUUAGAAACGCUGUUACAUAAAUUAUAACACUUAAAAAGUACAGCAUUGGGAAACCAGAAUCAUGUGCCCACUUUCUUGCAGAAUUGACCACGCGUCUAUCUUCCUAGAAAUGUGAAUAUGCCAUUGUGCUAUUAGGUUUGUAAGAGUUUACUUCAGAUGUUGGCAUGUUGAUUGGUAACCUCCAUAUAAUUAUAUUCUUAGUGCUGGGAAGGAGUAGUCUAAAAGGUGUUUUAAGAAAAUAAAACAUGUAGUUCAGCUAGAGACUUUUUUCGAAAAUGAUUUGUAUUUGUUCUUUAAAAUGGAAAAAUAAGUGCUGGGAAGGAGUAGUCUAAAAGAUUUGUUUUUAAGAAAAUGAAACGUGUAGUUGAGCGAGAGACUUUUUUCGAAAAUGAUAUGUAUGUUAUUUAAGUUGGAGAAUAUGUCUUACGUAGGCCUAUAUGACGAAAAAAAUUAAUCCUGCUUGGGCUACCAAGAUCUUUCAGAACGGAAUUAAUUUAUGCGUUGUUAACGAAGUUAAGUCAGUGUCACAAAUCGGGAAGAAGGUUUAUGUUCACCAAGAAAAAAAUAGCGGUUUAAUGCGAUGUUUUAUUUUACCAUGUUUUGUUCAUUCGACGGUCUAUGUAGGGUUGGCAUUUAUAAUACCUUUUUCACAUUCUAAUUUCUUUUCCAAAUUGAAAUGUAUUAAUUCAGCUGUCGCAAAAUUAAUUCCAUUGAGUAAUGAUAUCAAUCUAUUUCAGGAGCUUAUUUCACGUAAAGUGUGAAACAAUUUGAUAGGUAAUUCACGUAAUUUAUAUUUGGUACACCUAUUCAAAUAUUAAAAUCGAUACUUUAUCAAAAAUGUAAAAAAUGCUUUGAAAUUUUGGAGUCAAAAGUUUGACCAAAGCAUUGCAGGUUAGCCCUCUAAUUAAGGUGUUGCUUGUACCCAGUGCUUAGUCAAGAAUGACUGAAGAAAAAAGGCUGAAUUAGAUGCCAGUCCUACACGCUCUGUUCGGAUUUUUGCCGAGUGUCUCUUGAUUCAGACUUGAACCAAGUUCAUUUUCAUUUUCUGAAUGUUUCGAGUUAUUUCAAGUGAACUGAUUUAGUUUUGCGUAAAUGUAACAUUUUCAGCUAUAUUUGUAUAUUAUUCUUAAAAACGCUGUAACUAAGAUAAACUUGUAAAUGCUCAAGCAUACUUUGAAGUAGAUGAUGUUACGGAAAUAUUUAUUAACGUAGAACAAAAAUACAAUCAGAUGUAGUUAAUUUUUGGUGAAACCAAGUAGCCUAGUCUGUUAUUGUUCCAAUUCAUUCAGAUAAGAAUAAAUUCUUGUAUGUUAUACUGAUUUCAAAAUGAGAAAAUUU